GCGGAGAGCUCACAGGUGAGUGGCGCUGGGCGGCCCUGUGCCCGCUUCCCUCCCUGGGGCGCGAACUCUCGGCUGGUUGCUUUCUCCACGGCCGCUCCUGGGACAGAGUAGCUCCGGUAGGUGGGUUCAGGGUGUUCGCGACCGAAGCGCAUCCCUUGCCCAUAACCUAUUGUUGGUUUUGUGCCCACUGACCCUCCCUACCAGAAUGGCAGUUCUCUCACCUUAAACCUUCCCUAUCACCUCCCAAACUGAUGCCCCGACCUCACUGUCUUGCCCCGUGAGAAAACAGAAAUCGAAGACAAUGACGUUUACACCAAA
rnacentral:lncRNA from 1 species